AUGGAGAUUUAAUGCUUUUUCAGAAGCACAAGACUGAAACCAAAGCCGUGUUGCAAUGCUGAUCACAUCCUAUGCUUUGCCUGAGUAAGUCCCCCAUUUUGGAGCUCUCCUCCUUCACCUCAUGGGGCAGGUUGGAGCUCCCUGCACUCCCCCUGCGUUGGUUCCCCCCUUUCCCCUCCCCCCGUGUUGUUCGGGCCCACCCUUAGGCCUCACUCAGGCCUGCAUCGCGCCAGCGCGUUGCCAUAGCGACGAGGCGCUGGCCACCUACCCCUUUAAGGGCGUUCUUGGAGGCCGGAAGUGCCUCCGCGCGGCGCUCUGGUUUUCCCUUCGUCUCUGUGGUUUUCCUGCCUUUCUGCUUCCGGUGGCGGGCAUUGCGAGGGGCGGCGUGGCAGGGGUCUGGGCCUGGGGUGGUCAUAAGCGGAGCUGGGGUCAUAUUGAGGGCUGGAGAUCAGAAUAUGGGAGCUUGGUUAGUCAUUCUGGCGGUGAGGGUGCAGAGAUUUGGGGAAGAGGGGUCAUAUAGGAGUAUGGGGUUAGAGUACGGGUAUGGGAGGAGGGAGAAGGUGGAGGGGUCAUAUUGAGGUCUGGGGUCAGGGUGUGGGGGGGUGGAGAGUCGUAUUUUGGGCUGGAGAUGAAGAUACAGGGGUUUAAGAUGGUUAUACUGCGGCCUAGAGUUAAGGGUGGAGGUAAGGGCUGGAGUAGAACUAGAGGGUUCAAACUGGGGUCUGAGAGUCAGGGUAGGGGAGGUUCAGAGGGCCAUAUUGGGGCUUGGGGUCAGGAAAUGGGGGCCUGGGAUAAUACUGGAGUCUAGAGGUGAGGGUGCAGGGGCUGGUGGGGGGUUCGUGUUGGGGCUGAGGGGCAGGGCGUGAAGAGGGGAGAUGAAGGCUGGAGCAGGGCUGGGGUAUCAUUUUGCAGUCUCAGUUCACGAGGCUGGAAGGGAGCACAGUGGGCACUGAGGGGCAGCAGGGUGCCGUAAGUAGCAGGGCUGAGAGGAGUAGGGACUGUGAGGGGAGGGUAUGGGAUGCAAGUGGACAGAGAAUGUCCCUUGAGCAUCAUGUGUCACGGGAUCUGUGGUGGGGGUUGCUUCCAGAAGAAAUAAAGCUCCAACUCAUGGCAGAAGAUUGCUAGGUCUUCUUGGGAAGCCAGCGUUCAUCAGGUAAGUGGGACCGAGGCAAGGCCAGUGACUCAUGCACUCUCUCUGGGUGAGCAGCAGCCACUCAGGAGCCUUCCAUGCCCACUGGUGCUAUGGUAGGCUGAGGGCCUGGGGAUGGCUGCUGGCGGCUGUGUCUCAGCCUAGUGCCUGCUGGCCUCACCCGUGCCCCAGAUCAACCCCCAGAGGUCCCCCUGCUGGGUUCCUCCUAUGCAGUAACAGGUGUGAGCAUCCAUGCAGCAUUCUGAUGGUCAUGUAUGAUACUGCACACAAUUAGUUGCUAUCUUCAGCCAAAGGAGAGUUCUCUUUACAGCUUGAGCAUUAAUUUCUAUAAUGUGUACUGCAUCUUUUAAAAGCUGUCUUGUACUAUUAAGCUGUCAUUGCCCUUCCUUUACGGGCAGGUUUUACGUGUGGAAGGUAGAAUUUAGGUACAUGGAUGAUAAUUUUUUUCCCCUUGAUUUAUCACAGGUACUGUCUGAAUUCCCAAACUUUAUUUCAUGUAAUAGGGAGUACUGAUAGGGUGGUUCUUUAUUUGAACAAACCAAGGUUCUGUUGAAAGCUGUGUACUUUGCCCUCCUGUUGCAUCUGUGCUUUUCUUUAGUGUUGACUUUUUUUUUUUUACAACCAAGGAGUUCAGCUGAGGUCCCAGCUAAGGCCCUUGUGUGCUCUUGCAGGUGUGGGGCAGGCCUGGAUUGGCAGCUGGCACCCAAACAGCCCAGGCUUCUGAGAAAAAAAAAAAUAAAAAUAAAAUCAUUCACCACCACUAAAAAGGCACUUCAUUGUUUAUUUUUGGUGUCUGGCAGUGGUGUGUGGUCAGAAUGCUAUAGGAAAGGAUUUUAAAACUUUUAAAACUUUUAAAAAAACUUGUAAAAAGGCGGGAUGGGAUGCUGUUUUUAUGAAUUGUUUUAGUUGAUGCUGGUGCACAGAAGACAGGUCUGUGUGGGGCAGUAGUCUCCAGCUUUAGCUGGUUUUCUUGCUAAAGCUCUGACUGGUUAAUGGGCUCUGUUUGAAAAACACUGCACAGUGCUUAGGCAAUCUCCAUUUUAAUUUGCUUUCCUGUGGCAGUAAAGCAGUCCUAAGGGGUUUCUCUGAGGCAGCUUACUGUGUAUGAGCUGGAGCCUUUUGGGCUUUUACAGGAAGCUUGCCUGGGAUCACGAGAGGAGCUGAAGUGUAGCUGUCAUUGCUAUUACCAGCCAACAGCAGGGAGGGCCAAGUUCAGCACAUGACUGAGAUGAUAAAAGUCUAAUGCUCAUCUCAUUUUUCAUUAAGGGAUUUGAACAGAGCUGCAGGGCUCAGGAGCAGGGAAAGGGAACAGCACACAUUACUGGGUGCCUGCAGACGUGGGGCACUUCCAGUUAAAUCUGCCCAGUUGCCAGCAGCUAUUUGAAUGCAUGGGGCUAUCCUUACUGGCCAUGCCCAGGGGAAGGUCCUACUUUGAGAUGGAGGCAGACAUUAGGUCCUCUGGUCCUCCUCCACAGCAGGAUUGAAACCAAAGCUUGUAUAGAUUUGUGAGAUGGUAAAGUAACUGCCUUCUUAAAAAACACACACUUUUGGUAAAGAGUUUGUUUCAUCAGUGUCAGACAGACACAUGUUCAGAAUAACCUUGCUUCAAAGUGAGCCAGGCUGCCUGCAGCCCUCUGAGCUUGCAAGGUACUUGUAGAUAAAGCAUGGUGCUUCCCAGUACUGCAUUCAGCUGAUGGGCUGAAUGCUUAUUGCUUUUUCUCAUCUAUGUCAACUCUAUGUUUUUUUGCAGCCCUCACCUAACAUAGCAAGUAUUGGACCUUAUGUAAAACUAUAGCAGUGAUGCAGUUUAACUACUACAAAGUUGUAGGACCUUCUGGUCCUUUGUGGACUGUAAGGUGAAUUUUGCUGCCUUCUGACUUCAGCCAACGGUGACAAUUGGGCUAGGAUUCGGUGGCUCAAUGAGGAUGGGGUUUAUUUUGGGAGGGAGCCUCCUGAGCUGCUGCCUGGGCUCUUGUCUGAGGCUUAGAAACAGCAGCCUUCCAGUGUACACAUCACUAAGUACUGUGCUUAAUGCUUGCUGCUCUUCAUGUAGGUGUUCCUGCUGACCAUGGAGUGCCUGCUGAAUCUGCACCCUCGCCAAGGUGGCUGAACCGAAGACCUGUCUGCGUUAUGGUGAGAGUUCUGCCCCUGCACUUCCAUUUGUUUAUACCUGUGUGGUCUCUCUAGGCUGUAGAAGGUAUUUUUGCCAAAGUAGAUGGUAAAUGUGAAUAAAUUCCAAUUUUUCAAGCUGA